ensembl:snoRNA SNORD115 Small nucleolar RNA SNORD115
GAGUUGAUUUUGAGAACUUAUCUUUUUGGAGAGAAAUGAUGACAUAAAAAUCAUGAUUAAUAAGAUUAUGUUGGUGCCC